rnacentral:misc_RNA from 1 species
AGUGGCGCCGACCACUUAAAAACAACGG